rnacentral:rRNA from 1 species
GACGAACGCUGGCGGCGCGCCUAACACAUGCAAGUCGAACGGAGCUGAGAGAAGCUUGCUUUUCUUAGCUUAGUGGCGAACGGGUGAGUAACGCGUGAGUAACCUGCCCUGGAGUGGGGGACAACAGUUGGAAACGACUGCUAAUACCGCAUAAGCCCACGAUCCGGCAUCGGAUUGAGGGAAAAGGAUUUAUUCGCUUCAGGAUGGACUCGCGUCGAAUUAUCUAGUUGGUGAGGGAACGGCCCACCAAGGCGACGAGUGGUAGCCGGACUGAGAGGUUGAACGGCGACAUUGGGACUGAGCCACGGCCCAGACUCCUGCGGGAGGCGGCAGUGGGGGAUAUUGCACAAUGGGGGAAACCCAGAAGCAGCGACGCCGGGUGGAGGAAGUAGGUUUUCGGAUUGUAAACUAGUGUCGUUAGGGACGAUAAUGACGGUACCUAACAAGAAAGCACCGGCUAACUACGUG